rnacentral:snoRNA from 1 species
AAGCAACACUCUAUGACAGAUUACUGAAACUGUCUGAUACAAUUUGAGCCUGCUAUAGCAAGAAAGUGUAACCUAUUCCAGUGUUCUCUCUUCCAUGAGACAAGCUGUUAUAUAGGCUUAAGCAGU